rnacentral:rRNA from 1 species
AGUCGCCGCGGUAACACGAAGGGGGCUAGCGUUGCUCGGAAUGACUGGGCGUAAAGGGCGCGUAGGCGGAUGGUACAGUCAGAUGUGAAAUUCCUGGGCUUAACCUGGGGGCUGCAUUUGAUACGUAUUGUCCAGAGUGAGGAAGAGGGUCGUGGAAUUCCCAGUGUAGAGGUGAAAUUCGUAGAUAUUGGGAAGAACACCGGUGGCGAAGGCGGCGACCUGGUCCUUGACUGACGCUGAGGCGCGAAAGCGUGGGGAGCAAACAGGAUUAGAUACCCCUGUAGUCCCUGUCUCUUAUACA